UGGGGAAUAUUGCACAAUGGAGGGAACUCUGAUGCAGCGACGCCGCGUGAACGAAGAAGGCUUUCGAGUCGUAAAGUUCUUUUAUAUGGGAAGAUAAUGACGGUACCAUAAGAAGAAGCCCCGGCUAACUACGUGCCAGCAGCCGCGGUAAUACGUAGGGGGCUAGCGUUGUCCGGAAUCACUGGGCGUAAAGGGUUCGCAGGCGGAAAUACAAGUCAGGUGUAAAAGGCAGUAGCUUAACUACUGUAAGCAUUUGAAACUGCAUAUCUUGAGAAGAGUAGAGGUAAGUGGAAUUUUUAGUGUAGCGGUGAAAUGCGUAGAUAUUAAAAAGAAUACCGGUGGCGAAGGCGACUUACUGGGCUCAUUCUGACGCUGAGGAACGAAAGCGUGGGUAGCAAACAGG
rnacentral:rRNA from 1 species